rnacentral:rRNA from 1 species
UAGUUGCAUGCCGUAGACCCGAAACCGGGUGACCUAUCCAUGGCCAGGUUGAAGCGAGGGUAAAACUUCGUGGAGGACCGAACCACGUUGCUGUUGAAAAAGCAUGGGAUGAGCUGUGGAUAGCGGAGAAAUUCCAAUCGAACUCGGAGAUAGCUGGUUCUCCCCGAAAUAGCUUUAGGGCUAGCGUCGGAUAUGUGUAGUGGAGGUAGAGCACUGAAUGGGCUAGGGGGCAUAUCGCUUACCGAACCUUAUCAAACUCCGAAUGCCAUAUACAUUUAGUCCGGCAGUCAGACUACGAAUGAUAAGAUCCGUGGUCAAAAGGGAAACAGCCCAGAUCGUCAGCUAAGGUCCCAAAGUGUAAGUUAAGUGGAAAAGGAUGUGGGAUUUCUAAGACAACUAGGAUGUUGGCUUAGAAGCAGCCACUCAUUUAAAGAGUGCGUAAUAGCUCACUAGUCGAGAGAUCCUGCGCCGAAAAUGUACCGGGGCUAAACUUACCACCGAAGCUACGGGCUUGCGUAAGCAAGCGGUAGGGGAGCGUCGUAAUCGGGCUGAAGUCGUACCGUAAGGAGCGGUGGACUGAUUACGAGUGAGAAUGUUGGCAUUAGUAGCGAGAUGUAGGUGAGAAUCCUACAGGCCGAAUAUCUAAGGUUUCCUCAGGAAGGCUCGUCCGCUGAGGGUUAGUCGGGACCUAAGCCGAGGCCGAAAGGCGUAGGCGAUGGACAAUCGGUUGAUAUUCCGAUACCACUACCAUCGUUAUUAUCGAGGGUGUGACGGAGAAGGAUAGUGUGUGCUAGCGAUUGGAAAUGCUAGUCUAAGCGUUUAGGCAGUUACGGUAGGCAAAUCCGCUGUAACAAUGCUGAGGCGUGAUGGGGAAGGCCAAAUUGGCCGAAGUACAUGAUUCCAUGCUUCCAAGAAAAGCAUCUAGAGAGAGAAGUAGUGCCCGUACCGCAAACCGACACAGGUAGAUGAGGAGAGAAUCCUAAGGCCGGCGGAAGAAUUGCAGUUAAGGAACUAGGCAAAUUGACCCCGUAAGUUCGCGAGAAGGGGUGCCUACGAGAGUAGGCCGCAGAGAAUAGGCCCAAGCAACUGUUUAGCAAAAACACAGGUCUCUGCUAAAGCGCAAGCUGAUGUAUAGGGGCUGACGCCUGCCCGGUGCUGGAAGGUUAAGGGGAACACUUAGCGCAAGCGAAGGUGUGAACUUAAGCCCCAGUAAACGGCGGCCGUAACUAUAACGGUCCUAAGGUAGCGAAAUUCCUUGUCAGGUAAGUUCUGACCCGCACGAAUGGCGUAAUGACUUGGGCACUGUCUCAACUGCAAAUCCGGCGAAGUUGUAGUGCGAGUGAAGAUGCUCGCUACCCGCGAUUGGACGGAAAGACCCCGUAGAGCUUUACUGCAGCUUAGCAUUGAAUCUCGGUAUUGUCUGUACAGGAUAGGUGGGAGACUGGGAAACUAGGGCGUCAGCCUUAGUGGAGUCACCCUUGGGAUACCACCCUGACAGUACUGGGGUUCUAACAGGACGCCAUGAAUCUGGUGACUGGACAUUGUUAGGUGGGCAGUUUGACUGGGGCGGUCGCCUCCUAAAAAGUAACGGAGGCGCCCAAAGGUUCCCUCAGAACGGUCGGAAAUCGUUCGAAGAGUGCAAAGGCAGAAGGGAGCCUGACUGCGAGACCUACAAGUCGAGCAGGGACGAAAGUCGGGCUUAGUGAUCCGGUGGUACCUCGUGGGAGGGCCAUCGCUCAACGGAUAAAAGCUACCUCGGGGAUAACAGGCUGAUCUCCCCCAAGAGUCCACAUCGACGGGGAGGUUUGGCACCUCGAUGUCGGCUCGUCGCAUCCUGGGGCUGUAGUAGGUCCCAAGGGUUGGGCUGUUCGCCCAUUAAAGCGGCACGCGAGCUGGGUUCAGAACGUCGUGAGACAGUUCGGUCCCUAUCCGUCGCGGGCGUAGGAAAUUUGAGAGGAGCUGUCCUUAGUACGAGAGGACCGGGAUGGACUGACCUCUGGUGCACCAGUUGUUCCGCCAGGAGCAUGGCUGGGUAGCUAAGUCGGGAAGGGAUAAACGCUGAAAGCAUCUAAGCGUGAAGCCCACCUCAAGAUGAGAUUUCCCAUAGCAUAAGCUAGUAAGACCCCUUGAAGAACACAAGGUUGAUAGGUCAGAGGUGUAAGUGCGGUAACGUAUUUAGCUGACUGAUACUAAUAGGUCGAGGGCUUGACCAAUAA